UUUUAAUAAUUUCUUUUUACUCUUCAAUCGAAUUUUACAAAUUUAAAAUAUUGCUUGGCGAUGAUGAUCGAUGUUAUUCUUAUUUUUUGCACAGGGUUAGAGACAGAACAGUAACUUAGGAAAGGGACAGAUCAGUACCUUGGGAAAGAAAGAUUUAAGGAUAAAAGUAAUAGCUGUCUAGGAAGAGUAAUGGAGGCCUACACAAAGAUAACAGAAGCUGAGUUAAAGAAGGAUUGUGCACCAGAAAUGGUUGGAGGAGUUUAGAGACUACAAUUCAUUUUCACGAAAAUAAUAAAAAUUGAUUAA